GUGGGGGGUGAGGGGUAGGGGGUGCGCGGGCGGGCCGGCCAGCCGGCCGGGCUCAGGCCGCCUCCGAGCCUUGAGCCCUCCAUCCUUCCCCUGGCUCCGCACUUUGUCCCCGGGCCUCGUUAUGGAGGAGAGACCCUCCAUCCCACUCCCAGCGGGGCUUGGCGUUAGGCCCUAAGUACCGGGGAUGAAUGGGGUUUCCUUUGCUGCUGCUUUUUUCUUUUAAAAUUAAACCUUCCACCUAAGUUUUGGAAAUCGUACUUGCGCGGCCUCGUGAUCCGGGUUGUACAAGGCGCGAUUGCGUUCUCCCCCACCCCCCUUCCCCCAUCCCGAUCUCUGCGGGAGCAUUUGUGUUUUGCUCCUUCCGAGCGCACUGGAGGCUGAUGAACUGACAGGAUCAAAAUCAAGAAUGAAUUUCCAGACUCAGAGGAAAGACAGUAAAAAAGUUACCUUGGAGGAGCCGAUGCCUUCUGUCUCUGGACUUGCACAGAUUUGGAAUUCUGACGGUGUACAAUAUCGUGAAGUGAAAAAUUACUUGUGAAAUAUACUGUAUCCUUUUCACAUGUCUUUUGAGCAGUUGACGGUUAUCACACGAAUAUUACUGGAUGUUGAUUUUCACGUCUGGUCCUAGUGAAGUAUAAGAAACUGCAAUAGGGAGGAGACACAUUCUGAGUCUCUAACAGGAACUGAGCUCUGUUUUUAAAAAAAUGGCUGUAGAUAGCUAACUUAGAACUGGCAGCCUGGGUUUUUUCGUAUCAUUUACUGAAAUUGUUGAAAUAUAAUGGUAUAUAUGAAGCGUUUCUUUUAAUGAUGACAGUUGAACACUGAUGCGUGUAACUUUUAAAGUGUUGUGUAUUUAAUAAAAAUUNNNNNNNNNNNNNNNNNNNNNNNNNNNNNNNNNNNNNNNNNNNNNNNNNNNNNNNNNNNNNNNNNNNNNNNNNNNNNNNNNNNNNNNNNNNNNNNNNNNUGAUGCGUGUAACUUUUAAAGUGUUGUGUAUUUAAUAAAAAUUCUUCAUCUUUAAAAUCUCACCUACCAGUUUUUAGAACUCUUAACAAAGGAGUUCUUAAAUUGUGUUAACCUGCUGGGAGAGAAAUUGCUCCCUUGGGAAUUUCUACAAGUGGAAUCACUUUGAGGAUGGUUUUUAAACUAUUGUACUGUGUGGUUGGCAGGGUGGCAUAUUUUUUUAUUAGGCUAUUAGUAAUUUCAUAGAGGAGAACGAGUAUGUGGUUGGGUAACUGCUGCAUUUGAAGUGUUGGUUUUUUCACUUUUAAGUUUAUAGUUACAAUUAUGUUUUUAAUAGGAUUUCAUACUUUAAUUUUCUCCUGAUUCCUCCCUUUGGAUUGCAUGUAUAUUCUGUAGCAAAUUUGUAUGGUAUUUUAUUGACUUAAAGCUAUGAGCAUUGUGUUCUUGAAGGCAUUGUUGUAUGUCUUCAUUAAACUUACAAUGAUAGUUGUGAAUGAUGCACACACAUUUAAUGACUGGGUUGUAUAUCCAUGAUUAUUGUACUGUACCUUUAAAUCUAUGGCACAUUGCUUCCCAGGAUAGUACUACUACAGGCAAGGGCCUGGAUCUUACCUGGGAAAGUUAACUUUAUCAGAAUCGCUUCUUGAUCUGAUUGUUUGACAGCAGAAGUCUGCACUGACUGUGUUUAAGUCAAGAUGGAUUUUAGGAAGGAACUGAACCUGAAGGCAGCCUGCUGUAGAUUAUUAUUAUUAUUUUUUGUAUUGCUUUGACUACCCUAGUUUCUAAGGCCUAGAAACGAAUUCAUAACCUUAGUAGCAUCAGUAUGAGAAGUUUUAGAUGGUAUAAUAAGGAGAAGCUGUUAGAAUAUACAGUUAUUCUGGCUCUAGGUAAGAAUAACUUUAUUUGCCAAGAAAAACAUGACAAGCAUUUUAAGAGCUGGGGUUAAAUAGUAGUUUCAAGACAGGAUUUUAUUGGACAGUUGGAAUACUGAGUUCGUAUGCUGAUUUUCAUAAUUGAAUUUCUUUAAAGUAACAAGUUAUUACCAGAUUAGAGUUAUUUUUAACUUAAUGACAGGCUGGUCCAAAGAGAGAAAACAGGCUAAAAAGCAAACCUUGCGUUGCUGCUCUGUCUUCUCACUUAGAACUCCCAGGGUUAUAGUUACACUUAUUUAACCUCCAUACUUUUCUGGGCCUCUUCCUUUCAGGCUAUCAAGUACUUUAUUGAAAGAAACCAUACUUAAAAGGCUAAAGAGAACAAAGAAGCAGCAUAUGGUGGUAAGGAGGUACCUCUUAAACUCUUGAAAAGGGAGAUGCAUAAUGAGUUAGUCUAGGAUUUGAAAAUAUCUUAUCAUUUAUAGCGUACACAACCUUUGGAGAAUUGCUUUGACAUUUUGUCUGCAAUUAUAAGUACAGCAGUUGCUGGAACAUAAAAACUUCAAUUGGCGUUUGCCCUGAGGGGUUAUUUGAGAGUGAGUGACUUAUUUUGGUAACCUAAAGUUUGAAAUAGGAUUCAGAGGCAGCUGACUCAAUAUCCUUCUGAUAGGGCUUUCCCCCCCCCUUUUAUUUUUUUAAACAUCAAGUCAAAUGAAUAACCAGAAAAGAGUUAUAUAAACUUAAAAGUACCUCAUGAUAGGGGUUAUUGUAGAAAUUUCAGUUUUAAACUUUUAAAAUUAAUCUAAUUUGAAUAAGUAGUCAAUUAAAAAUUGUGUUGUCAGAGCACCUUCAUUCCUAGAUGAAAGCAUUAGGAUUACCGCUGUCCAAUGGGGAGAAGGCGCUGGCACCCCACUCCAGUACUCUUGCCUGGAAAAUCCCA
ensembl:lncRNA